GAUGAACGCUGGCGGUGUGCCUAAUACAUGCAAGUCGAGCGAACAGACGAGGAGCUUGCUCCUCAGACGUUAGCGGCGGACGGGUGAGUAACCUGUGCUUAACCUACAUAUAAGACUGGGAUAAAUUCGGGAAACCGGCGCUAAUGCCGGAUAAUAUAUUGAACCGCAUGGUUCAAUAGUGAAACACGGUUUUGCUGUCAAUUAUAGAUGGAUCCGCGCCCCAUUAGCUAGUUGGUAAGGUAACGGCUUACCAAGGCAACCAUGCGUAGCCGACAUGACAGGGUGAUCGGCCGGACUGGAAGUGCGACACGGACCAGAGUCCUACGGAGAGCAGCAGUAGGGAAACUUCGGGAAUGGGCGAAAGCUUGACGGAGCAACGCCGCGUGAGUGAUGAGGGUCUUCGGGUCGUAAAACUCGGUUAUUAGGGAAGAAAAAGUGUGUAAAUAACUAUGCACGUCUUGACGGGACCUAAUCAGAAAGCCACGGCUAACUACGUG
rnacentral:rRNA from 1 species